rnacentral:lncRNA from 10 species
UUCCAGACCCUUCUUAAAUAUUAUCGUGUAUACCAGCUUUAUUAUUUAGCUCUGCAAUACUGCUAAAUUGGUCAAUUACUUCCCUGCCUCCCCACCCUCCAACUGAAUUCUCACCACCCUUGAGGGAAAACAGUCUGGGUUCCCUGUGGAACAUCAUUUCUCAAAACUGUAUUUUGGGGCUUGCUUUCUCAUUUUUCCUUUCCAUUUCAGAUAUCCUUACUGCUGUCUUUGGGCUCUUUAAACACUGCCUUUUUUCCUUUUUCGAUCACACCCAAAAACUUUUCUCAAAAAUUACAUGUAAAUUUAAAAAUUUACAAAUUAAAUUUAAAAUUGAAAUUUUAAAAAUCCCGACUCUCCCUAAUUUCAGGAAGCAUGCAUUUAUUAUACAUAACAAGACGUGAAAGCCGCAAGAGUUUCAGCCUAAACACUGAAGACCCCGCGAAGUGAAUCCAGCUGCUGCUCUACAAGCAGCAACAACAACUGGGAAGCCUUCUCAGCUACACUUCGGGGCACUGGUCCAACCCCACGCAAAAUCCCUCGUUUCCCUUAGCGUGGUAAGACGGAGCCUGACCUGAGCUCCAACUGUCCUAUCUUUUUCAAAUGUUUCAAACUUACUGCCUUUGUUCAGCAGAACCACGGGCACGGUGAUGAUGGUGACAAGCGCAGCAGCACCCAGCAGUCCCAGAAGAACCUUCCACGGUGUCUGCAAGCCGAGCAGAUCAAGUCCAAUUAGAGGGAAGCGUGUGGCCCCAGUUUCCGUAGGAGGGUCGGGGCUGCUCCAGAGGCAGCAGGAUUUGCAGGAAGGAAGACUGUACACAGAGAAUAAAUAACUUGGCCAAGCCAUUCAGCUAGGAAGUUGUAGAUCCUAAAUUAAGAGUUCAAGGUCUUAAUGGCUACUCUAUGCGGCCUCUCAUAGUCUUUUCAAGGGUUUUGGAGAAGAAUAAAAGAUCAGUCAUCCACAGAUGUUUGAGUGGUUACAAUGUGCCAGCCUCCCUUCUAGGUACUGGAGAUAAAGUGGGACAAGAGAGGUGAGGUCUGGACCCUUGGCACUUUCACGAUAAAAUACACAGGCAUUGCUUUUGAACUCAGUCAUCUUUUCCCCCUUGCCCACUAGUUGCUUGUGAUACAUCAGUAUCCUCACUCACCCCCAACUCCAGAGGCUGAAACUAACUCUCCUCCUCCCUCUUCCAACUGCUGAGGAAGAUGAGUCAAUGGUGUUACUGGACCCUGUGAACUGAUGCUGUGAAGAGAGGCCAUUUAACACGGACUACGGGGAAUGGUGCCACAGGGGGCUCAGUGCUGCCCUUCACUCUCAGCAUUUUGCUCACUCAGCAUUGAUGACAGGAUGUCCCAAAAGUAACAAAAGAUGGGAGCCAGUCCUCUCAUAGCUGUUUCUUCAAUCAUCCCAUCAACAGCUCUUCAUUUAUUGAACUACCUUCCUUUUCCAAAGAGGUAAUGCUGAGAUCAGUCAGAAAGGCUUUCUGAGAAA